rnacentral:rRNA from 1 species
GAUGAACGCUGGCGGCGUGCCUAAUACAUGCAAGUCGAGCGAACGGACGAGAAGCUUGCUUCUCUGAUGUUAGCGGCGGACGGGUGAGUAACACGUGGUUAACCUGCCUAUAAGACUGGGAUAACUUCGGGAAACCGGAGCUAAUACCGGAUAAUAUUUUGAACCGCAUGGUUCAAAAGUAAAAGACGGUCUUGCUGUCACUUAUAGAUGGAUCCGCGCUGCAUUAGCUAGUUGGUAAGGUAACGGCUUACCAAGGCAACGAUGCAUAGCCGACCUGAGAGGGUGAUCGGCCACACUGGAACUGAGACACGGUCCAGACUCCUACGGGAGGCAGCAGUAGGGAAUCUUCCGCAAUGGGCGAAAGCCUGACGGAGCAACGCCGCGUGAGUGAUGAAGGUCUUCGGAUCGUAAAACUCUGUUAUUAGGGAAGAACAUAUGUGUAAGUAACUGUGCACAUCUUGACGGUACCUAAUCAGAAAGCCACGGCUAACUACGUG